rnacentral:lncRNA from 1 species
AAUAAUCCUUGUGGUCCAAGCACAGAGCAGGGGACCAAGUUCACAUAAGCCCUCUUUCUAAGGAUGCACAGCAGGGAAAAAUUCAUGCAUGCUAUGUAGAUGAUGUUUACUUUUUACAAUAACCUUGAUUAUCACAAUUUCUAACAAAGAACGUGUUCUUGACGUGUCUGAAGUCUUGAGCUCCAUGAGGCACUGGUGAGCUGGAUUUGUUUGUUCUUAUUAUGAACUCAUUUUAGUUGAACAACAACAACAAAAAAAGACAUGGUACCCAAAGCCUCCUGUGACCCCCUAGUGACUGCUCCAUUUGAGUCUCCUCAUCCCAGGAACACCUGGCAACCAAGAGCCCAUCUCACCUCCUUACCUUGCUGUUGCUGUCCUCUCUGCUUGCAGUCUGCUCUCCAUCCCAUUCCUCCUGAGAACUCCUGUCUACUCUUUCAGCUUGAGCCCAGUGUCACCUCUUCAAACAAGUCUUCCUGCCCCAUCAAACUGAGUUGGGAGCCGACUUCUCCUACCCCUUAGAUCUCAAGUGCAUUUCACGCACCAUCUUGUGUCAUCAUGGCCUAGUUAAGCAACAGAUUCAUUUGAGAGACAGCAGGAAAUUGGUUCCCCCUCCCCACAGUGUCACUUGUGUUAGCUUCUAGCAUAAAGUCAGGCAUAGGUGUUCAAUAUUUUUUAUUGAAUGAAUAAGUGAAGCUGUCUGCUUAUAAUGCCAUAAUAGAAAUUGAUUAUUUCCCAUCAUUAUGAAAAAAAAAUUGGCCUCCAUUUUUCUCAAUGGUAUUUUGAGACCUCUUGCAGAUUGGGAAGAAACAAUCCAUCUUUCUGGAACAAAUUGGACACAUAUAAUUUUUUUUUAUCUAGAUGCUAAAUAGCUCAUAAGUGCCCAUUCAGAAUCAGAGAAUUUUUAAGGGUUGAUUGUUUGCUUGUUAAGUACCCCAGAUAUUCUCACUAAAAAUAGAGGUUUAGCUGAUGGCUGGGAUUGAUUAACAAUUGUUGAAAAAACUGA